ACGUAGGCACCAAGCGUUGUCCGGAUUUAUUGGGCGUAAAGAGCUCGUAGGCUGUUCAGUUAGUUGGGUGUGAAAACUCCGGGCUUAACCCGGAGCCGCCACCCAAUACUGCUGUGACUAGAGUUCGGUAGGGGAGCGGGGAAUUCCUAGUGUAGCGGUGAAAUGCGCAGAUAUUAGGAGGAACACCGGUGGCGAAGGCGCCGCUCUGGGCCGAAACUGACGCUGAGGAGCGAAAGCAUGGGUAGCAAACAGGAUUAGAUACCCUGGUAGUCCAUGCCGUAAACGUUGGGCACUAGGUGUGGGCUUCAUCCAACGAAGUCCGCGCCGUCGCUAACGCAUUAAGUGCCCCGCCUGGGGAGUACGGUCGCAAGACUA
rnacentral:rRNA from 1 species